CACGCACAGAUAAGUACAUAACAACAAUCUUUUCUCAAAUUAUAGAACAGAACAUUAUAAGCAUUACAAUAAAACAAAUGCCAAGGCAGAUGGUCAUGACAAGAAUAACAUCAAAAUAAUAAUACUUAUUUGAAAUGAAAAUAAUGUGUCCCAGAAUCCCUUAGAUUAGGGUUUCUGAUCCAAGAAUUUAGAAGAGAAGAAGAGAUAGCAGCGAAUAUAGAUGAGAAUUAGAGAAAAAGAACAGAAAAUAAGAGAGAAGAGUAUUCAUUAUUGAUCUUCAGUGAUGACCAAUUAUACAGGUACAUUUCCUAUUUAU
rnacentral:misc_RNA from 1 species